AAAAAUCCUUACAUAUUUUGCACAGACAUGAUUUUUCCUUAUUUUCUACCCUAGGGGACUAUGCUUUUUUUUUAAAAAAAAACACCUCUACAUGUGAAUUUGUUUGUUUCCUACAUUUUGCAUUUCUUAAACUUAAUUUUUCUCCUAAUAGUUUUUGAAGCAAAACCUUCUGGAAUCAUUCUAGCAAAAAAAUCAGACCAAAUUUAGCAUUGAGCUUGCAUUGAUUUAUAUUUUAACCUAUCUGUUAACUGUUAAACACCCACCCACCCCCAACACACACACACACACACACACACACACACACACACACACACACAUCCCAGAAGUCAGAAAUCCUCUUUACUGGAAAGACAGGACAUUUGAAUACCUGUAUAGAGAAACUUUCCAUGACCUGUGGAAUUUAAACACAAAGUAAAACCAGUGAACAAUUUUAUCUUUGUUUUCUGGUGCCUGUGUCUAUGACAUUUCUCUCCAUGGCAUCUUUGUUCUGUUGAGGAUGUACUUGAACCCUGCCAUUCAUAUUCACAGUCCUACUCUGCAGUGUUCUGCUCAUGCAGACAGCAGCAACAAACAAAUACAGCCCUUUCCCUGUAGCAAUUAAUUUAUAAAUCAUUUAUGCAAAAUGGUUUGGAUUAAGAAAACCAACUGUCCCUUGGGCUAUCGCAUGACUCACAUGUUAAAAAGUUCAUUUUUAUUUUUAUCAAUUUUUUCUCUGCUUAAGACAACAAUGUAGUUUAGAAGAGGUAAAUGGAUUCGUUUUAAACAAUUGGUAAUAACUUUGCUUUUUAUGCCUCUUCCUUAGGCGAUCUAAUUUCCUCUUCUUCUUCCAGCACAGGAAUAACAACACAUACUCACAUUUAUAUAUUUUAUGCACAAUAUCAUUUGGUAAUCAAGUAUUAUGAGAAGCUCAUUUUCUGAAGCAUGAACUAGAUAUAUAAAUACAGAUCCAUGACCUGUAACAUCCAAUUUCAAAUCUUUUAUUCAGAAAUAAUGCCCAAAUAGGUAACUCAAGAUUGAAUUGUUUGCAAUCAAAAACAUCAGAUGCGUAGUGUGAAUUUGAAAAGAUUCAAUCAUCUUGCAUAGUAAAGGAAAAUAAUAGCUUAAAUGGCUUUUAAAUUCUUUUUUUAUGCCUAAAUUUAGAGCUUGAAGACCUUUAAAAAUAAUUUCUUACUUGAGGAGAAAUAAGAAAAUAUUUUAAAAGAUUCAAUGCAUAUACUUAUUGAAAUUAUGAGUAGUAAAAUACUUUGUUUCAAAUUACUUAUUCUUGAUUAGUCAAAAACAAUGGGGUUCUAAUUAACACAAUACAUAUAUAGGUAAUAUGGCUAAAUGUCAUUUAGGGUGUGACAUUGUGCAUCAGGUUCCAAGAACUGAGUAUUCUCGGGCCGGUUCUUUUCACUAAUACUUGAUCUGCAAGCUAAGAACACUUGGCUUUGGCACAUUUUGAUUUUUUACCAGCAAAGUCAUGCCUGCUUUCUCAACCCCAUAAAGCUUCUUUGUUUACAGAAAUUAAUAUAGAGAUAUUUUUUAUGUACCUGGAUAAUUUGUUUCCAUGUAUUCAUGUUCUCCAUAUGUUCACAGAGGACAAAAGAGAGCAGAGGAGUUCCUAGAACUGGAGUUACAGCCAUUCCAAGAUACCAUGUGGUGCGAGGAAUCUAUCUUAACUAUGGAAAGCCAAGAGCAGGGGAAAUUAAUUGUCUUCCCUAGAAAAGAGCACACCAAUUGGUUAUCUAAUGACAAAUGGUCAAUUCUGAAAAUAGUAUAUAUGAUCUGGUGGUUUGAAUAUGUAUGGAGCAGGGAGUGGCAGAAUUAGGGGUGUGGCCUUGGUGGAGGAAGUAUGUCAUUGUGGUGGCCUACUUUGGGACCUUUUCCCUAGCUGAUUGAGGAGCCAGUCUUCUCCUAGAGGCCCUCAGAUGAAGAUGUAGAACUCUGAGCUCCUCCUGCACCAUGCCUGCCUGGAUGCUCCCAUGAUCCCACUUUAAUAAUAAUGGGCUGAAGCUCUGAAUCUGUAAGCCUGCUCCAAUUAACUGCUGCCCAUAUAAAAGUUGCCUUGGUUAGGUGUCUGUUCACAGCAGUAAAACCCUAACUAAGACACGUGGGUAACAUUAUCUGAGUAGAUUGUAAGUAGUAUGAAUUUAUAUAUUUAGGAACACACACACACAAAAUUAAAGAAAAAGAGUCCCUAAAUUUGAAUGAGAUCAAGGGCAAUUGGAAGAAGGAAAGGAAAGGGGAGCUCUUAUAAUCUGUGUUUUAUGGUUACGAAGAGACACCAUGACCACAUAACUCUUAUAAAGGGAAACAUUUAAUUGGGGCUUGUUCACAGUUUCAGAGGUUUAGUCCAUUGUCUUUAUGGUAAGAAGCAUGGCAGCCUGCAGGCAGACAUUGCGCUAGAGUAGUAGUUGAGAAUUCUGCAUCUGGAUCCACAUACAGCAGUAAGAGACAUUGGUCCUGACACACUUUUUCCAAAAGGCUGUACCUAUUCCAAAAAGGUCACACUCCUUAUCCUUCUCAAGUAGUACCAACCUCUGAUGGAUGAACAUUAAAAUAUAUGAGCUUAUAGGGAUGUAAUUAUAUUAUCAUCUCAAAAAAUAUAAUACAAGUAAGGCAGAUCAUGGUAGAACAAAACCUACAUUGAUCUGUGGUUUUUACACUCACAUGCUUAUAUGUGCAUGGACAGCUAAGCACUUGUGUGUGAGCACACGAAAAUGCAAAUAAACAUUUUAAAAUAACCAAGAAUAUAGUUUGAAAUUAAAAUAUGUGGUAAAUAGGAGAUACACAUUAUUUCUACAAUGUGUUAAGCUCAUUGCCUAAGAAGAGCAAAAUACCCAUGGAAGGAGUUUCAGGGACAAAGUUCGGAGCCGAGACUGAAGGAAUGGCCAUCCAGAGACUGCCCCACUUGGGGAUCCAUCCCAUAAACAACCCCAAACACCAAACCCAGACGCUAUGGCAGAUGCCAACAAGAGCUUACUGACAGGAGCCUGAUAUAGCUGAGGGGCUCUGCCAGUGCCUGGCAAAUACAGAAGUGGAUGCUCACAAUGAUCCAUUGGAUGGAGCACAAGGUCCCCAAUGAAGGAGCUAGAGAAAGGACCCAAGGAGCUGAAGGGGUUUGAAGCCCCAUAGGAGGAACAUCAAUAUGAAGUAACCAGUACCCACAGACCUCCUUAAAACUAAACCACCAAUCAAAGAAAACACAUGGUGGAACUUGUGGCUCUAGCUGUAUGUGUAGCAGAGGAUGGCCUAGUCGGUCAUCAAUGAGAGGAGAGGCCCUAGGUCCUGUGAAGGUUCUAUGUCCCAGUGUAGGGGAAUGCCAGGACCAGGAAUGGGAGCGGGUGGGUUGGGGAGCAGAGGGAGCAGAGAGGGGAUAGGGGAUUUUCAGAAGGGAAACUAGGAAUGAGAAUAACAUUUGUAAUGUAAAUAAAGAAAUAUCUAACAAAAAAAUCCAAAAAAUGGCCAUGCUGGAAUGAAGGAAUAGAUAGGAAUAUCUUUAUGAAGUUAUUGCCAGAUGUUAGGAGAUAUUUGCACAUUAUGAGUCUCUAUUCACAUUCUACAUGACCUUGGAUUUUCCAGUAGAGUGAAUUAGAUU
rnacentral:lncRNA from 1 species